rnacentral:lncRNA from 1 species
AUGUUGUUAAUGAAGACAAUCGGAGGUCAAAACCACAAUGUAUGUACAAUAGGUAGAAACAAAAGAAAUACACAAGCGUUGAUUAGAUAUAGGUGGCUCCACAUUGAAUGAUAUAGAUAAAGGUGAGAAAAUAAAUAGAAAGCAAAUGAGAGAAGCUCAAUAGAAAGCACAAAGCGGUGAUUGACUUGAAAAGGAAAGCUAUAGAUUUUGUCAUCUUUCAACAACAAGUGGCACAAGUGGUUGUGAUAAAACGAAAGGGAAGCUCAAUAGAAAAAAAAGAAGCUUAAUGUUGAAGGAAUUUGAGGAUUGAAGAGCAGCUGAAGUUGGCAAGGAAAAGGCAACAAAGGUUAUAAAUAGUUGAUUCCAAUUCAAUAUGGAACACACGCUGCAUAGAGGAGAAAAUUCAGAUUGGAAUUGAGAGAAGAGAACACAAGUGAUAGAGUUUGAAGAUCUUGGGGUAGAGACUGAAGUUGGAGCAAAAAUCUGCACUCUUUUUUGGGUUAUUCCUUACUCUAAUUUUAUGAAUCCUAUUUCAAUUUUAGUGUUCUUGUUUAUGGAUAGCUAAAUUAAUUUCUAGGGUCUUAGGUGAAACUUGUAUGUUGAGAUACCUUAUCAUAUUCUAGUUUAUUAAUUUGAAUUUCUAUUUCUAUUUCAAUCAAGUUUGUUCUAUUGAUUUUAUCACAUGAUUAGGAAUGAUCAAACCUUUGCAU